GAGCAAAAUAGGCAAAGAAAUUUGAUUUGCAAUCACAGAAAAUUCUACUAUGGAAUCUUGUCU
rnacentral:tRNA from 1 species